rnacentral:miRNA from 1 species
GAAGUGAUCAACAUAGAAAUGAUUU